rnacentral:rRNA from 1 species
AUUGAACGCUGGCGGCAGGCCUAACACAUGCAAGUCGAGCGGAUGAAGGGAGCUUGCUCCUGGAUUCAGCGGCGGACGGGUGAGUAAUGCCUAGGAAUCUGCCUGGUAGUGGGGGAUAACGUCCGGAAACGGGCGCUAAUACCGCAUACGUCCUGAUGUAGAAAGUGGGGGAUCUUCGGACCUCACGCUAUCAGAUGAGCCUAGGUCGGAUUAGCUAGUUGGUGGGGUAAAGGCCUACCAAGGCGACGAUCCGUAACUGGUCUGAGAGGAUGAUCAGUCACACUGGAACUGAGACACGGUCCAGACUCCUACGGGAGGCAGCAGUGGGGAAUAUUGGACAAUGGGCGAAAGCCUGAUCCAGCCAUGCCGCGUGUGUGAAGAAGGUCUUCGGAUUGUAAAGCACUUUAAGUUGGGAGGAAGGGCAGUAAGUUAAUACCUUGCUGUUUUGACGGUACCAACAGAAUAAGCACCGGCUAACUUCGUG